GUUUCCGUAGGUGAACCUGCGGAAGGAUCAUUAUUGUAUAACCGAGGUGCGAGGGCUGUCGCUGACCCGAAAGGUCGUGCACGCCCGAGUGCCCUCACACGCAUCCAUCUCACCCCUAUGUGCACCACCGCGUGGGUCCCCCUUUGGCUUGUUCGGAGGGGGGCUUACGUUUUCACACAAACUUUGUAUGCAGUGUAGAAUGUAUUUUUUGUUUUUGCGAUCACGCAAUCAAUACAACUUUCAACAACGGAUCUCUUGGCUCUC
rnacentral:misc_RNA from 1 species